UACAGAGGGUGCGAGCGUUAAUCGGAAUUACUGGGCGUAAAGAGCUCGUAGGUGGUUCGGUAAGUCGGGUGUUAAACCCCCAGGCUCAACCUGGGGACGCCACUCGAUACUGCUGUGACUUGAGUCCGGUAGGGGAGCGUGGAAUUCCUGGUGUAGCGGUGAAAUGCGCAGAUAUCAGGAGGAACACCAGCGGCGAAGGCGGCGCUCUGGGCCGGUACUGACACUGAGGAGCGAAAGCGUGGGUAGCAAACAGG
rnacentral:rRNA from 1 species